CUGAGGCGAGCGGAGGCGGCGUUGCGGCUGCCGUGCGGCCCGGGCGAGGCCUGCUUCUGUGCUCGGGCAGCCGGCCCCAUCGCUGAGGCGGGCGGGCUGCGCGAGGGACGGCGGCUGCGGCUGUGCCGCCGGACUCCCGGGACCCUGCACUGGGCGGCCUGAGCGGGAGAAGACAGAGAGUCUUCAGAAGUCAGAGACUGCAGCUGCCUGCAGGGGUUUGCCAGGAAGCAUGAUGUGUGAGGUACAGUCUCUUGAGAAUGCAGCAAAACUGUGCCUGUGUUGUAUCAGAAGAAUGUUUGGACAAAGAGAGGUCAAAGAUAUAUAAGAGAAUUUUUGGUUUAUGUUACAAGGAAUCUUCAGUCCACCAAGUUUACGGAGAAAUGUCAUACCAAGAAGUUUCAGAACUGGACUGAAAUUGCUGCCUUACUUUGCAACGAAGGGAAAAGAAUACAGUAAGCAACUCCAGAGAUUUCAGGGAGAAAAUCCAGUUGGACAAAAGCAAGACAGGAAGAUCUCCUCAUCUGAAGAAAGAGCCUGGAAACAGGAGAGCACAUGUGAAUGAUGCCAAGUGGGCAAAAGGAAAGCUACUGAUCUGCAAAAUGGGAUGUUGUCUCAGCACAAAUGUAGAAGAGAGUGAGAUGGAAAAUCCUUGAUGCAGUAGCCACAGAAGUUGAUCCACCACUGAGCAGGCACAUGGCCAACUGAACGCAUGGGCAUAUACACAGACAGCCGAAAGGACAGAUGCAUCAAGUCAGAUUUAUGAGAGAAGCUGCCUUUCAGCAGCAGGUCUCACUGUGCACAUCUGCAGCCUUUUGUAAUCAGCCAAAACUCAACCUGAGUCGUGUGGCCUCCAGAGACCCAUUCUCUUGAGUGAAGGACAGUCAAAGGGUUAUCUCAGAGGGUAGUCCCCCGAAAGGGGACAUCUUGAAGAGAAGCAGCUAGACCUAGUGAUCAAGCUGUUUGUUUUGGUCGUCACUUGUGAGGCAAGUGUCCGAGCGUAAGAGGACUCUGGGAGCUGAAUCAAAAAGAGAUGGAACCAAGCAACAACAGCAAAUGCUGACAGAGAAGAAAGCUGGACAAGCAGUCUUUUUGUGAUUAACACCUAAGUGACAGGAUGAAACAAGGAAGCAAAAAUGCAGCAGACCCUUGAUAUCACCAGAAACUGCUGCAGUAUGAGGUGUUCUGCCAAGGAUGAAUUGCCACGGCUUAAGUUGAAGAGACCAGAAAAACGUAAGCAAGCUGGAGUGAUAAAACCAAAUGGAACCAGCUAAGAGCUGUCUCCAUCUUCCAAAGGGGAAAGCUCGUUCCUCUUGGUGAGGAAGGAUCACUAUUAGUGAUCAGAAUAAUAGGUCACCAGCGUAUAAUAGAAGGGCAAAAUGUAUUUCACUAUGCCUCCAUCAACAAGCACUGGCUGACAAAGUCCCCGCAGAGACUCUUAGACGAUAUGGAAGAGUUCAGAUAUGCAGCCUGCCAGAAGAAUGUCACCCAGGACAGGGUAUCUGUCAAAUGCCUUCGGUAUCUGCCCUAACAGAUAAAGAAGAUGGAACCACCUAUUCACAUUCCACAUAGAAAGACUGACAUAUGAUACACAGUAAAUGUGAAUACACUAGACCUCUGUUAUGUCACAGGUAUUUGUUUGAAUAUGUGCUUUCAAAUAUGUAGUUCCACAUUCAGAAUGUGACAUUUACUGAGUGCCUAAUUCCUUUUAUGCAGUGUGGAAGCAAGUGUAUAUAGCUGCCAAUCUCUACAACAGGUUAUUAGUGAGAAUGAGAAUGCUGUAUUUCAACUGAUGACUGCAGAACAGGCUCCUUUGUGUUUAGUUUCAGAAUUAUGACCUACUUCAUCAUUCUGCUUUGACAUUAUUUCUUGGCAGGAAUGCUAGUGCUUUAACUGUACAGUGGUUGAAAGCAGUAAUUUAUAGGCCAGAGCAGUUUCUCUGAUAUACAUUUCAUUCUUGUAUCAGGCUUCUGGGAAAAUAUGGUACGGAAUUCCAGAAAGUACACCUUUAAAUAGGUACACCUUUUAAAUCUAGAAAUGCGUCUGAAUUCCAAAUGGCUUAUAACUUCAUAUUUGUCUUCAACAUACUCCUUUCUUUUACUCUUUUUCCAGGCUUACCUCCAGCAAUCAGUAUUACCAUGGUGUAUUGUGUUUCACAGGCAACAAUAUAUUCAGAGCACAAGAACUCCUGCUCUGAAGUGGGCUUCAUAAUCAAUGACCACAGGACCCGUGCUCUGGGCUGGUCACUUUAGGCCUUUGUGCAGAGUAUCCUUUCUAGUUGCAUACCCUGCACGAGCCUCUGCUUCAACUGUUUUCCCAAUGUAUUGGAAAUGCUUCUGGUAAAUACUGUAGUUUCCUAAAUUUUUCACUGUGUCCUUGCUGAUACUGGAUACCACGAUAGCAGGGGGAGGCUACCUACAUGUAUGCAAGGAACACUGUGACACAAAGCUACCUCUUUGGCCCACCUAAUCUACUUUAGAAAAUUUUGGUUUUGACCUAACGAUUGGGUCUUUGAUUGGCAUGCACAGCAUGCAUUUGUUUCCCUGUUCUUUUACAAACAUUAUCUAUGUUCUUCACUUGUUUCUUCAGAGGGGUGAGUUGCUGCCAGAAUUACUGGGGAGGCCCUGACUGCUGGAUGUGCAAAAACAACCUUUGACUACAUUGAGACGAAGACAUGUAAGCCGAAGGAUCAGAAUAAAUAACUUCUUGUCAAGAUUUGUUUCCUAGCAACACAUUGAUAAAGUCCUGUAUGAACAAUC